rnacentral:rRNA from 1 species
CCUACGGGAGGCAGCAGUGGGGAAUAUUGGACAAUGGGCGAAAGCCUGAUCCAGCCAUGCCGCGUGUGUGAAGAAGGUCUUCGGAUUGUAAAGCACUUUAAGUUGGGAGGAAGGGCAGUUACUUAAUACGUGACUGUCUUGACGUUACCGACAGAAUAAGCACCGGCUAACUCUGUGCCAGCAGCCGCGGUAAUACAGAGGGUGCAAGCGUUAAUCGGAAUUACUGGGCGUAAAGCGCGCGUAGGUGGUUCGUUAAGUUGGAUGCGAAAUCCCCGGGCUCAACCUGGGAACUGCAUUCAAAACUGUCGAGCUAGAGUAUGGUAGAGGGUGGUGGAAUUUCCUGUGUAGCGGUGAAAUGCGUAGAUAUAGGAAGGAACACCAGUGGCGAAAGCGACCACCUGGACUGAUACUGACACUGAGUGCGAAAGCGUGGGGAGCAAACAGAUUAGAUACCCUGGUAGUCCACGCCGUAAACGAUGUCAACUAGCCGUUGGGAGCCUUGAGCUCUUAGUGGCGCAGCUAACGCAUUAAGUUGACC